rnacentral:rRNA from 1 species
GACGAACGCUGGCGGCGUGCCUAAUACAUGCAAGUCGAGCGGACGGAUGGGAGCUUGCUCCCAGACCGUCAGCGGCGGACGGGUGAGUAACACGUGGGCAACCUGCCUGUAAGACUGGGAUAACUCCGGGAAACCGGGGCUAAUACCGGAUAACUCUUUCCCUCACAUGAGGGAAAGCUGAAAGAUGGCAUCUCGCUAUCACUUACAGAUGGGCCCGCGGCGCAUUAGCUAGUUGGUGAGGUAACGGCUCACCAAGGCGACGAUGCGUAGCCGACCUGAGAGGGUGAUCGGCCACACUGGGACUGAGACACGGCAGACUCCUACGGGAGGCAGCAGUAGGGAAUCUUCCGCAAUGGACGAAAGUCUGACGGAGCAACGCCGCGUGAGUGAUGAAGGUUUUCGGAUCGUAAAACUCUGUUGUCAGGGAAGAACAAGUACCGGAGUAACUGCCGGUACCUUGACGGUACCUGACCAGAAAGCCACGGCUAACUACGUG